CUACGGGUCGCAGCAGUGAGGAAUAUUGCACAGUGGAGGAAACUCUGAUGCAGCAACGCCGCGUGGAGGAUGACGCAUUUCGGUGUGUAAACUCCUUUUAUAUGUCAAGAAAAUGACGGUAGCAUAUGAAUAAGCUCCGGCUAACUCCGUGCCAGCAGCCGCGGUAAUACGGAGGGAGCAAGCGUUACUCGGAAUCACUGGGCGUAAAGGACGCGUAGGCGGGAUAGAAAGUCAGGUGUGAAAUCCUAUGGCUCAACCAUAGAACUGCACUUGAAACUUCUAACCUAGAGUAUGGGAGGGAAGAUGGAAUUAGUGGUGUAGGGGUAAAAUCCGUAGAUAUCACUAGGAAUACCAAAAGCGCAGGCGAUCUUCUGGAACAAUACUGACGCUAAGGCGUGAAAGCGUGGGGAGCAAACAGGAUUAGAUACCCUCGUAGUC
rnacentral:rRNA from 1 species